rnacentral:rRNA from 1 species
GCUCCUAGAUGGAUUCCCCCUCCUCCUGGACAUGCAAAGAUCAGAGUGGAUGGUGCAGUUGCUAGGAAUCUGAAGGAAGGCUCUUUCAAUGCGGUCUGCCGUGACACUUCGGGAACAUAUCUGGGGUCUUCAUGCAUCAGACUAGCAGGUAUAAAAGAUCCUGCUACGUUGGAAGCACUUGCUUGCCGAGAAGCACUUGCUUUAGCAACAGACCUAGCUUUGACACAUGUUAUAGUUGCCUCCGAUUGCAAGGGGGUGGUUAAUGAAAUUCAGAAGCAAACUGGUGGCCUGUAUGGUAGCACUGUUAAAGAGAUUGUGGAGACGGCAAGAACAAUUAACAACUGCUCCUUCAUAUUCGAGGGAAGAUCUACAAAUCAUGAGGCGCAUAGCCUUGCUAAGCAUGCUUUCGGUCUGGGUUUUGGGCGCCAUGUGUGGCUGUUAAACCCACCAGAUCUUAGUUGUAUCCCUAUGAACAUUAUUGAAUAA